GACGAACGCUGGCGGCGUGCCUAAUACAUGCAAGUUGAGCGCUGAAGGUUGGUACUUGUACCAACUGGAUGAGCAGCGAACGGGUGAGUAACGCGUGGGGAAUCUGCCUUUGAGCGGGGGACAACAUUUGGAAACGAAUGCUAAUACCGCAUAAAAACUUUAAACACAAGUUUUAAGUUUGAAAGAUGCAAUUGCAUCACUCAAAGAUGAUCCCGCGUUGUAUUAGCUAGUUGGUGAGGUAAAGGCUCACCAAGGCGAUGAUACAUAGCCGACCUGAGAGGGUGAUCGGCCACAUUGGGACUGAGACACGGCCCAAACUCCUACGGGAGGCAGCAGUAGGGAAUCUUCGGCAAUGGACGAAAGUCUGACCGAGCAACGCCGCGUGAGUGAAGAAGGUUUUCGGAUCGUAAAACUCUGUUGGUAGAGAAGGACGUUGGUGAGAGUGGAAAGCUCAUCAAGUGACGGUAACUACCCAGAAAGGGACGGCUAACUACGUG
rnacentral:rRNA from 1 species